UACGAAGGGGGCUAGCGUUGCUCGGAAUCACUGGGCGUAAAGCGCACGUAGGCGGCUUACUAAGUCAGGGGUGAAAUCCUGGAGCUCAACUCCAGAACUGCCUUCGAUACUGGCGAUCUUGGAGUCCGGGAGAGGUGAGUGGAACUCCGAGUGUAGAGGUGAAAUUCGUAGAUAUUCGGAAGAACACCAGUGGCGAAGGCGGCUCACUGGCCCGGUACUGACGCUGAGGUGCGAAAGCGUGGGGAGCAAACAGG
rnacentral:rRNA from 1 species